UACGUAGGGUGCAAGCGUUAAUCGGAAUUACUGGGCGUAAAGCGUGCGCAGGCGGUUGUGUAAGACAGAUGUGAAAUCCCCGGGCUCAACCUGGGAACUGCAUUUGUGACUGCAAGGCUAGAGUACGGUAGAGGGGGAUGGAAUUCCGCGUGUAGCAGUGAAAUGCGUAGAUAUGCGGAGGAACACCGAUGGCGAAGGCAAUCCCCUGGACCUGUACUGACGCUCAUGCACGAAAGCGUGGGGAGCAAACAGG
rnacentral:rRNA from 1 species